UAGGGAAUCUUCCGCAAUGGGCGAAAGCUUGACGGAGCAACGCCGCGUGAGUGAUGAAGGUCUUCGGAUCGUAAAACUCUGUUAUUAGGGAAGAACAAAUGUGUAAGUAACUAUGCACGUCUUGACGGUACCUAAUCAGAAAGCCACGGCUAACUACGUGCCAGCAGCCGCGGUAAUACGUAGGUGGCAAGCGUUAUCCGGAAUUAUUGGGCGUAAAGCGCGCGUAGGCGGUUUUUUAAGUCUGAUGUGAAAGCCCACGGCUCAACCGUGGAGGGUCAUUGGUAACUGGAAAACUUGAGUGCAGAAGAGGAAAGUGGAAUUCCAUGUGUAGCGGUGAAAUGCGCAGAGAUAUGGAGGAACACCAGUGGCGAAGGCGACUUUCUGGUCUGUAACUGACGCUGAUGUGCGAAAGCGUGGGGAUCAAACAGG
rnacentral:rRNA from 1 species